rnacentral:rRNA from 1 species
UACGAAGGGGGCUAGCGUUGCUCGGAAUCACUGGGCGUAAAGCGCACGUAGGCGGCUUGUUAAGUCGGGGGUGAAAUCCUGGAGCUCAACUCCAGAACUGCCUUUGAUACUGGGGAUCUCGAGUCCGGAAGAGGUGAGUGGAACUCCGAGUGUAGAGGUGAAAUUCGUAGAUAUUCGGAAGAACACCAGUGGCGAAGGCGGCUCACUGGUCCGGUACUGACGCUGAGGUGCGAAAGCGUGGGGAGCAAACAGG